AACACUGAUUUCAAAUGGUGC
rnacentral:miRNA from 1 species